GCUUGCUUUAGCAGCCCAUCUACUACAUGGCACAGAGAAGAUUAGCAUGGCCCCUGCACAAGGAUGACACCCAAAUUUGUGAAGCGUUCCAUGUUUUU
ensembl:snRNA Rnu6-859 RNA, U6 small nuclear 859